AUGAACGCUGGCGGCGUGCCUAAUACCUGCAAGUCGAGCGAACGGACGAGAAGCUUGCUUUUCUGAUGUUAGCGGCGGAUGGGUGAGUAACACGUGGAUAACCUACCUAUAAGACUGGGAUAACUUCGGGAAACCGGAGCUAAUACCGGAUAAUAUUUUGAACCGCAUGGUUCAAAAGUGAAAGACGGUCUUGCUGUCACUUAUAGAUGGAUCCGCGCUGCAUUAGCUAGUUGGUAAGGUAACGGCUUACCAAGGCAACGAUGCAUAGCCGACCUGAGAGGGUGAUCGGCCACACUGGAACUGAGACACGGUCCAGACUCCUACGGGAGGCAGCAGUAGGGAAUCUUCCGCAAUGGGCGAAAGCCUGACGGAGCAACGCCGCGUGAGUGAUGAAGGUCUUCGGAUCGUAAAACUCUGUUAUUAGGGAAGAACAUAUGUGUAAGUAACUGUGCACAUCUUGACGGUACCUAAUCAGAAAGCCACGGCUAACUACGUG
rnacentral:rRNA from 1 species